AAUUACUCAAAAGAUUAGUCUUCUUAGGUGUAAACUAAGAAUUGUCUGUCCUUUGAAAAACGUCUACUGUGAUUGGUAGAUGAGAGAACUUAGGGGAGGUGACAUAGGAGAAAAUUCCCUAUAUAAGGACAGAACCAGUCUCUUGAUGAGAGGCAGAAGAAUCCCUCUAAGGAGAAGGAUGGCUGGCUGAACUGGUGUCUAUAUUCUUGCUUGGACAGAUCUUGUGAAAAACUCUGGCAUUCUUGGCAGAUGAACAAUGAUCAAGAAAACCAAAGACAGACUACAAUAAGUUACUUCUUCAACCCACCAUAGAAGUACAGAAAAAUCAGCCAAGGUCUCCCACCAGCAAAGCCCAUGCCAGUAGCAGUACCUCUCAACAGUGCCCGAAAUGGGCCACCCUCUUUCCAACUCCAUCUUCCUGGAACAGGAGAAGAUGAAGAAGUAAAGGAAGCAAGAAACCAGCUAAAAGCAUUCCCAGAAAAACUUCAGCUUGGAAAAUGUAGCCCAAAGAUGGGAUCAGGAGACAUUCUUCAAGCAAAAGCUUCCAAACCUCUGAGUCUGACCACCUGA
rnacentral:lncRNA from 1 species